rnacentral:rRNA from 1 species
GAUGAACGCUGGCGGCGUGCCUAAUACAUGCAAGUCGAGCGAACAGACGAGGAGCUUGCUCCUCUGACGUUAGCGGCGGACGGGUGAGUAACACGUGGAUAACCUACCUAUAAGACUGGGAUAACUUCGGGAAACCGGAGCUAAUACAGGAUAACAUGUUGAACCGCAUGGUUCAACAGUGAAAGACGGUCUUGCUGUCACUUAUAGAUGGAUCCGCGCCGCAUUAGCUAGUUGGUAAGGUAACGGCUUACCAAGGCAACGAUGCGUAGCCGACCUGAGAGGGUGAUCGGCCACACUGGAACUGAGACACGGUCCAGACUCCUACGGGAGGCAGCAGUAGGGAAUCUUCCGCAAUGGGCGAAAUCCUGACGGAGCAACGCCGCGUGAGUGAAGAAGGUCUUCGGAUCGUAAAACUCUGUUAUUAGGGAAGAACAAAUGUGUAAGUAACUAUGCACGUCUUGACGGUACCUAAUCAGAAAGCCACGGCUAACUACGU